GGUCUUGUGGCCUAGUGGUUAUGGCACAUGCUUUACAAAAUUGUUACUAUCUUUGAUGGUUCAUGGUAUUCGCAUGGGAUCGCAGGUUCGAUCCCUGCCAAGAUCA
rnacentral:tRNA from 1 species